GAGGGUAUAGCUCAGUGGUAAAGCGUGUGCUCAGCAUGCGUGAGGUCCUGGGUUCAAUCCCCUGCACCUCCA
rnacentral:tRNA from 1 species